GAGGGCGCUGCACGGACGUCCGACAAACUGAUGUUCUUAGCACCAAAGUCCUGAGAUUGUAGAGCAGACAAAACUUGAUUUUCAUCAGAAACAACCACCAAGAAGCUGAGAACUUAAGGAUUUUGAGCUGCUAAAAAUCGUUUUGUGGAGCUCAAGUUUGGAUCCUUGCAAAUGUCCAGAUACCUGGGACAAUGGCCAGCAAUGCAGUUACAUGUGACUGUAGACCACAGAAAAUGUGCUUGGGAUCAUCAAGCCCACAUCAGUAAAGAUUUUGCUCACAAGGUAAAAGGUCUUGUACUCCCUGAACCUUCUUUAUCCGGGCAUGCAGUCAGUAUCCAUCUUGCGCACAACUGGUCAACAGGCUAGUAUAUCUCAGUCAUCAAACUCUGUCAUAUUUUGUGUGGCAUGCUGAGCGAUUAUUU